AUUUGUUGUGAAGUAUUUUGUAGCUGGUCCUGCAGAGGGGGGAAGGCACCUUGGGAGUGCUAAAGCAUACAUAUACCCAUAGUAUGUACUCUGUCUAUGCACACUAGGUAAGACCACCCCCUGUAUUUUGGUUGGUACGCCAGGUAGUAAGAAUGGAGUUAACUCUGGGUCUUCCUUUCUUGUGGAGAUCCUCAUGAGCCAGUUUCAUCAUAGCACUUGGAUUCUGUGACUGCACUUGAAGAAACUUUCAAAGUUCUUAAUUUUCUGAAUUGACUGACCUUCAUGUCUUAAAGUAAUGAUGGACUGCCUUUUCUCUCUGCUUAUUUGAGCUGUUCUUGCCAUAAUAUGGACUUGGUCUUUUACCAAAUAGGGUUAUUUUCUACCACCCCUACCUUGUCAUAACUGAUUGGCUCAAAUGGUUAAUUUGUGGAAUUUCUUCAAGGUACACCUGUUCAUUGAAAUGCAUUCCAGGUGACUACCUCAUGAAGCUGAGAGCUUGUCAAGGCAAAAGGUGGCAACUUAGAAUCUCAAAUUGAUUUGUUUAACACUUACUACAUGAUUCCAUGUGAUUUAAUAGCUUUGUCUUACUAUUGUACAAUGAAGGAACCCUGGAAUGAGUAGCUGUUAACUGGUACUGUAAAUUGCACCACAAAUGGUAUUCUAUUUCCAACGUAGUGACCUACUUUUGACUAUAAGGCUCCUGUCAAACGAAGAGCACGACAAAGGAAAUAAGUUACCAUAACCAUGGUUACAGGACAUACCAUGUCUUCAAGAUGGUUUAUUCUCAGGGUGUAGGUGUGCUUGACCCUGCUUCCUCCAGGUUGAUGGAAUGCAUGUUGUACUCCCAGACCAUCCUGCUGGGGCUCUCUACUGGACCAUAAAGUAGGAACAUUACUACUAGGUUAUGGCACCAUAUUCCCCAUUUAGUGCACAACUUUGACCAGGACUUAGUGUUCGUCAAAAGUAAUACCUUUAUAUAGGUGUCAAGUCUACUCCCUCCCCGGCGCUCGACGUCAUCAGUUUAUUCAUUAUUAUGCACACCUGCCACUGUUACUUGCACCUGUACCUCAUGAGACUCACCUGGACUCCAUCCCUUCCUGAUUACUUCUCCUAAAUCUGUCAGUCUCUUUGAUUCUUUCCCCAGGUGUUAGUCUGUUUCUGUGCUUCAUGUCUGUACGCUACUCGUGUUUCUUAUUUUCUUUUAAUGUUCCCUUAUCUAUUAAAUUCACUCCCUGUA
rnacentral:lncRNA from 1 species